UAUUCACCGGUUCUCGUAGGAUCACCGAAGUUAAGCAAGACUCAGCCUGGCCAGUACCUAGAUGAGUGACCAUUUGGGAAUAAAAGAUGCUGUAA